UACGAAGGGGGCUAGCGUUGUUCGGAAUCACUGGGCGUAAAGCGCGCGUAGGUGGUUUAGUAAGUCAGAGGUGAAAGCCUGGAGCUCAACUCCAGAACUGCCUUUGAAACUGCUAAGCUGGAGUUUCGGAGAGGAUAGUGGAAUUCCUAGUGUAGAGGUGAAAUUCGUAGAUACUAGGAGGAACACCAGUGGCGAAGGCGACUAUCUGGACGAAUACUGACACUGAGGUGCGAAAGCGUGGGUAGCAAACAGG
rnacentral:rRNA from 1 species